rnacentral:rRNA from 1 species
CCUAGGGAGGCAGCAGUGGGGAAUAUUGGACAAUGGGCAAAAGCCUGAUCCAGCCAUGCCGCGUGUGUGAAGAAGGCCUUCGGGUUGUAAAGCACUUUCAGUGGGGAAGAAAGCCUUGGGGCUAAUACCCUCGAGGAAGGACAUCACCCACAGAAGAAGCACCGGCUAACUCCGUGCCAGCAGCCGCGGUAAUACGGAGGGUGCGAGCGUUAAUCGGAAUUACUGGGCGUAAAGCGCGCGUAGGCGGUCUGAUAAGCCGGUUGUGAAAGCCCCGGGCUCAACCUGGGAACGGCAUCCGGAACUGUCAGGCUAGAGUGCAGGAGAGGAAGGUAGAAUUCCCGGUGUAGCGGUGAAAUGCGUAGAGAUCGGGAGGAAUACCAGUGGCGAAGGCGGCCUUCUGGACUGACACUGACGCUGAGGUGCGAAAGCGUGGGUAGCAAACAGGAUUAGAUACCCGUGUAGUC